AUGGCUGUCGUCAGCUCGUGCCGUGAGGUGUUGGGUUCAGUCCCGCAACGAGCGCAACCCUCGCCCUUUGUUGCCAUCGGGUAAAGCCGGGCACUCUAAGGGGACUGCCAGCGACAAGUUGGAGGAAGGAGAGGAUGACGUCAAGUCAUCAUGGCCUUUAUGCCUAGGGCCACACACGUGCAACAAUGGCCGGUACAGACGGAGGCAAUGCCGAGAGGCGGAGCAAACCCGAGAAAACCGGUCCCAGUUCGGAUUGAGGUCUGCAACUCGACCUCAUGAAGUCGGAAUCGCUAGUAAUCGCAUAUCAGAACGAUGCGGUGAAUACGUUCCCGGGCCUUGUACACACCGCCCGUCACACCACGAAAGUUUGUUGUACCCGAAGUCGGUGCCUUAACCUCGCAAGAGGAGAGAGCCGCCCAAGGUAUGGCCGAUGAUUGGGGUGAAGUCGUAACAAGGUAGCCGUAGGGGAACCUGCGGCUGGAUCACCUCCUU
rnacentral:rRNA from 1 species